GUCGAAACGGGUCGCCCCCCCACAGUACGACCCCCACCGUGCCACUAGACGGCGACCAGUGGCAAACGGGUGAGUAACGCGUAGGUAAUCUGCCCUGAAGACGGGGAUAGCUCAGCGAAAGUUGGGGUAAUAUCCGAUAGUCCCAUUUCACUCAGGUGUUAAUGGGUAAAGUUCCGGCGCUUCAGGAGGAGCCUGCGUCCUAUCAGCUUGUUGGCGGUGUAAAAGACCACCAAGGCUAAGACGGGUAGCUGGCGUGAGAGCGUGACCAGCCACAAUGGGACUGAGAACGGCCCAUACUCCUACGGGAGGCAGCAAUUAGGAAUCUUGCGCAAUGGGGGCAACCCUGACGCAGCGACGCCGCGUGGAGGAUGACGGUCUUCGGAUUGUAAACUCCUUUUAUGUGGGAAGAAUAAAUGACGGUACCACUUGAAUAAGUACCUGCUAACUACGUGCCAGAAGCAUCGGUGAUGCGUAGGGUACAAACAUUAUCCGGAUUUACUGGGCGUAAAGAGAUGCGUAGGCGUCUCUGUAAGUCUGUCGUCAAAGCCCGUGGCUCAACCACGGAUCGGCGAUGGAAACUACUGAGAUUGAGGUAGAGAGGGGUGAACGGAAUUCCCGGUGGAGUGGUGAAAUACGUUGAUAUCGGGA
rnacentral:rRNA from 1 species